rnacentral:tRNA from 1 species
GGGGCGUUAGCUCAGUUGGUUAGAGCAGGGGACUCAUAAUCCCUUGGUCGCCGGUUCAAGUCCGGCACGCCCUAC